rnacentral:rRNA from 1 species
GGCGCACGGGUGCGUAACGCGUAUGCAACCUACCUUUUACAGAGGGAUAGCCCAGAGAAAUUUGGAUUAAUACCUCAUAGUAUAUAGUCUUCGCAUGUUGACUAUAUUAAAGUUCCAACGGUAAAAGAUGGGCAUGCGUCCUAUUAGCUAGAUGGUAAGGUAACGGCUUACCAUGGCAACGAUAGGUAGGGGUCCUGAGAGGGAGAUCCCCCACACUGGUACUGAGACACGGACCAGACUCCUACGGGAGGCAGCAGUGAGGAAUAUUGGACAAUGGGCGCAAGCCUGAUCCAGCCAUGCCGCGUGCAGGAAGAAGCAUCUAUGGUGUGUAAACUGCUUUUGUACAGGAAGAAACACCCCGACGUGUCGGGACUUGACGGUACUGUAAGAAUAAGGAUCGGCUAACUCCGUGCCAGCAGCCGCGGUAAUACGGAGGAUCCAAGCGUUAUCCGGAAUCAUUGGGUUUAAAGGGUCCGUAGGCGGUUUGGUAAGUCAGUGGUGAAAGCCCGCAGCUCAACUGUGGAACGGCCAUUGAUACUGCCAGACUUGAAUUACAAGGAAGUAACUAGAAUAUGUAGUGUAGCGGUGAAAUGCUUAGAUAUUACAUGGAAUACCAAUUGCGAAGGCAGGUUACUACUUGUGGAUUGACGCUGAUGGACGAAAGCGUGGGGAGCGAACAGGAUUAGAUACCCUGGUAGUCCACGCCGUAAACGAUGGAUACUAGCUGUUGGGGGCAACUUCAGUGGCUAAGCGAAAGUGAUAAGUAUCCCACCUGGGGAGUACGUUCGCAAGAAUGAAACU